UACGUAGGGUGCAAGCGUUGUCCGGAAUUAUUGGGCGUAAAGAGCUCGUAGGCGGUCUGUCGCGUCGGAUGUGAAAAUCAGGGCUCAACCCUGGACCUGCAUUCGAUACGGGCAGACUAGAGUUCGGUAGGGGAGACUGGAAUUCCUGGUGUAGCGGUGAAAUGCGCAGAUAUCGGGAGGAACACCAGUGGCGAAGGCGACUACCUGGCCUGUUCUUGACGCUGAGGCGCGAAAGCUAGGGGAGCAAACGGGG
rnacentral:rRNA from 1 species